CCUAGGAAGCGCAAGGCCCUGGGUUCGGUCCCCAGCUCCGGAAAAAAAGAACAAAAAAAAAAAAAAAGAAUGUUACUGUGUUACGUCACAGUACGUGUUGCGUCAGAGCAGUGUUACAUCAACCAAAUGUUGUUGGGCUCGUUCAAGUUGUCAUGUGGAAGACAGAACAGCCUGAUGCCCUGCAAUCCUAGUCCCAGGCAGCGGGUAGCAGGGUCUGCAGGCAAGAUCCUGGGAGGAUUUACUGAUGGUUCCCAAUGUGCACUGACUGGCCGCCCCUAACAGGAUGCUUCUCAGUUGCCAAGAAACAGAAGCAUCAUGCAGUCUUCCCUUCCUGCCUCCCUCCACCGAUGGCAGAUGCUUGUCUUAGGCAGAGAAGAGCAGGCUGUUUCUGAGCUUCACUUCUGGUGUGUAAGCAGAGACGGCUCUACAGUCUGACAAACAUGGAUGAUCACUGAAGACAUUGGUUAACAAUACUGUCAUUACAUUGUCACCAGGGAGACAAACAGCCUGCCGCGUCGACUGAUCAGAGGUAUUUAUAAUUGCAAAAAGCAGAAAAGCAUCCAGGCAAGGCAUUAAUCUGAGAAUAAAGUCAGUCUCU